UUAGGAUGAACACUCUUCUAAACCCUUUCAUUUUAGACCUUGGGAUGACAUUUGCCAACCAAUAGCUAGUGGUGGUUUGGUGCUUCAUUCUGCUUGGAUGGUUGCUACUUCGAAAGACCCUAUGCUCACCUCUGUCCUCAAAGCCAAGUAUUUUCACAAUUAUUCUUUUUGGAAUGCAAAAUAUUCUGGUCCAAAAUCUGUUUUCUUGAGCUUCCAUUCUUAGGGUCAAACAUCAUCUUCAUGAGCAGUGUACCUAUCAGAUAACGAAGGGCAAUUCUAAUAUUUGGAUUGAUCCUUGGUUUGAUGGUUGGGAGAACAUUCAUGAUCAGUUAAUUAUUCCACCAGCAUCUAGCUCCCUUCAAAAUUUUGUCUCUGAUCUUUGGAAUAACAAUACCAACUCUUGGAACUCUUCUCUGAUUAGAGAGACUUUUCAUCAGCCGGCAACAGAUGCUAUUAUUCAGACUUAAAAUUUACUCUAACGAUCCUGAUAAUCCUCGCUGGAAGUCGUCUGCUAAUGGUCUCCACUCGACCAAAGAGGCUUACAAAUAUCUUUCUUACCAUUCUGGCCAUUCCCUUCCAAAUCAUGGCCCUCGUAGCACUUCUUCUCAGGCCUUAGCUCUUCUCAAUAGAACUUAGAAGCAUAAGUCUCUCCCUUGCAUUAGGGCUUUUACUUGGUGGUUACAUAGGAAUGCUUUAGCUAUUGGCCAUAGAGCUUCUCAUUUCAACACACUAGAAUUGAUGACUCUUGCAAAUUAUGUGGUUUAAUAGAAACUGACUUUCACCUCUUUUUUUAGUGCACUUUUCCCAGAGCUGUUUUGUUCUCCUCUAACUCUUCUUUGAGAACAGAUUUGUUGCCUUCUGAUGGGGAAGGUCUGCAAGGUACUUUAGUGGCUAUUUUGAGUAACAAUUUUUCUAAAUAUCUACCGCAGGAAGUCCUCACCAGGUUGUGUUACUUGUAGAAAGCUAGAAAUGAUUUCAGGUUUAAUGAUAAAAAUUGGUCUGUCAGCAAGAUUUCUCAUGAAGUCUUGGCUGAUGUUCAAACUUCGAGUAUGUUUGCUUCUCUAGUUGGGUCUACGGAUCUCCAUGGGCAUGUUGCUAGAGGAGGUGAAGGUUUGGGAGUUUAUCUCUCUCUUGCAGGUUCAAGGAACUCUGGUUCCUUAUAUAUUCGUGCAUGAAGAAUGGUGAGUUCAGUUCUUAUGGCUGAAUUGGCGGCUCUGGCAUUGGCAGCCAAGGUGGCAGAAGUUCUUCAGAUGCUAGCUGUUACAUCUCAUACUGACAGCAGGGAUGCAGUCCCUCAGUUGCAAAAGGGGGAGGAGGCUUCUUUUUGGAGGCUAAGGCCACUGCUUUCACAAUUUAUGUGUCUCCAAAAUAGUUGUGAUUUUAAGGAACACCAAUCUGCAUGUGCUGCCAUCACUGUCGGAGAUCGCCGGAGUAGCAACGUCACAAUGCCGCCGGCAAGCUCUCCCUGAUGAACACAACAACUCAUGCAAACACUCGUGGAUAAGCACAGAGACGCAGUCUUGUUUUUGUGCUACAAUGCGGCAGCGUUUUUUGGACUGUACUAGUUGAAUAUAACUCAAACAUGGCCAUCGGCCAUCUGAGAAGCUCACCAUGCCUCUCCUAUCAGCGCGCCAUCCCGCACGUCAAGGCAUGCCGCUCCAUGCAAACGCUAAAGACUCGCUCUGCUGUGAACGUGCACAACUCAAGCUUACAGACGCGCACAACCUGAAUAUGGUCAUGCUCUAAGCCAGCAGAAAGAAAACACACACGCUAAGUGCUCAAGACUUAUUCCAACAAAUCUCCUCCUAAAUCUUGACGCACGCUACUGACCUGAAUGAAGGCCAAUCUUCAUGCAAAGCUCCUGGAACUUGAUUCUGAAGAGAG